rnacentral:rRNA from 1 species
UACGGAGGGUGCAAGCGUUGCUCGGAAUUAUUGGGCGUAAAGGGUAGGUAGGUGGUCUCAUUUGUCUGGGGUGAAAGCCUUGAGCUUAACUCAAGAAGUGCCCCAGAAACGGUGAGACUAGAGUUCUGGAGAGGGUCGUGGAAUUCCCGGUGUAGCGGUGAAAUGCGUAGAGAAUCGGGAGGAACACCAGAGGCGAAGGCGGCGACCUGGACAGAUACUGACACUCAACUACGAAAGCGUGGGGAGCAA